rnacentral:rRNA from 1 species
GACAGAGGGUGCGAACGUUGUUCGGAAUUACUGGGCGUAAAGCGCAUGUAGGCGGCAGCGCAAGUCGGGCGUGAAAUCCCACGGCUCAACCGUGGAAGUACACUCGAAACUGCGCAGCUAGAGUCCUGGAGAGGAAGGUGGAAUGCUUGGUGUAGAGGUGAAAUUCGUAGAUAUCAAGCGGAACACCGGUGGCGAAGGCGGCCUUCUGGACAGUGACUGACGCUGAGAUGCGAAAGCGUGGGGAGCAAACAGG